rnacentral:rRNA from 1 species
AUUGAACGCUGGCGGAAUGCUUUACACAUGCAAGUCGAACGGCAGCACGGGGCAACCUGGUGGCGAGUGGCGAACGGGUGAGUAAUACAUCGGAACGUGCCCAAUCGUGGGGGAUAACGUAGCGAAAGUUACGCUAAUACCGCAUACGAUCUACGGAUGAAAGCGGGGGAUCGCAAGACCUCGCGCGAGUGGAGCGGCCGAUGUCAGAUUAGGUAGUUGGUGGGGUAAAGGCUCACCAAGCCAACGAUCUGUAGCUGGUCUGAGAGGACGACCAGCCACACUGGAACUGAGACACGGUCCAGACUCCUACGGGAGGCAGCAGUGGGGAAUUUUGGACAAUGGGCGCAAGCCUGAUCCAGCCAUUCCGCGUGCAGGAUGAAGGCCUUCGGUUGUAAACUGCUUUGUACGGUAACGAAACGGCGAGGCUCUAAUACAGUUUGCUAAUGACGGUACCGUAAGAAUAAGCACCGGCUAACUACGUGCCAGCAGCCGCGGUAAU